rnacentral:rRNA from 1 species
AAAGGUAAGCCGGAGAGGGUGACAGCCCCGUACGAGUAGAAAAGCUGACUGUUCUUGAGUAAGGCGGAGCACGAGAAAUUCUGUCUGAAAAUGGGGAGACCACUCUCCAAGGCUAAGUACUACUGAUUGACCGAUAGUGAACAAGUACCGUGAGGGAAAGGUGAAAAGCACCCCUAUAAGGGGAGUGAAAGAGAACCUGAAACCGGAUGCCUACAAGCAGUCGGAGGGUCUAUAAGGCCUGACGGCGUACCUUUUGUAUAAUGGGUCAGCGACUUAAUUUAUGUAGCAAGCUUAAGCCGAUAGGUGUAGGCGUAGAGAAAUCGAGUGUUAACAGCGCGUUAAGUUACAUGAAUUAGACCCGAAACCGAGUGAUCUAGCCAUGAUCAGGUUGAAGGUUGGGUAACACCAACUGGAGGACCGAACCCACUCCCGUUGAAAAGGUAGGGGAUGAAUUGUGGCUAGGGGUGAAAGGCCAAUCAAACUCGGAAAUAGCUGGUUCUCCGCGAAAACUAUUUAGGUAGUGCGGUGAGCGGACACCUUGAGGGGUAGAGCACUGGAAGAGCUAAGGGGGAGCGAUCCUUACUAAACUUUACCAAACUCCGAAUACUCAAGAGUGAUACUCACCAGACAGACAUUAGGUGCUAAGGUCUAGUGUCGAGAGGGAAAGAGCCCAGACCGCCAAUUAAGGUCCCAAAAUUAUGGCUAAGUGGUAAAGGAAGUGAAACGUCCAAAACAGUCAGGAGGUUGGCUUAGAAGCAGCCAUCCUUUAAAGAAAGCGUAAUAGCUCACUGAUCUAAACAAGACGUCUUGCGCCGAAGAUGUAACGGGGCUAAAGCCAUAUACCGAAGUUGCGGAUUUACACGUUAAAGUGUAAGUGGUAGCGGAGCGUUCUGUAAGCCUGCGAAGGUGUACCGUAAGGUAUGCUGGAGGUAUCAGAAGUGAGAAUGCUGACAUGAGUAGCGAAAAGAAGAGUGAGAGACUCUUCCGCUGAAAGUCCAAGGUUUCCUGCGUAAAGCUAAUCUGCGCAGGGUUAGUCGGUCCCUAAGGCGAGGCAGAGAUGCGUAGUCGAUGGCAAUCAGGUUAAUAUUCCUGAACCGGCCCGGAAGUGACGGAUUGAGUAAAUUGUAAGUUCUUAUUGGAUUGAGCUUGCAGUGAAUCAGUCCCAGGAAAUAGCCCGGGCUAAGACCGUACCCGAAACCGACACAGGUGGACAGGUAGAGAAUACCAAAGCGCUUGAGAGAACUAUGUUGAAGGAACUAGGCAAAAUACUUGCGUAACUUCGGGAUAAGCAAGCCCCAUUUUAAGGCAACUUAGGGUGGGGGGCACAUACUAGGGGGUAGCGACUGUUUACUAAAAACACAGGGCUCUGCUAAAUUGAAAGAUGAAGUAUAGGGUCUGACGCCUGCCCGGUGCUGGAAGGUUAAGGAGAGAUGUGCAAGCAUUGAACUGAAGCCCCAGUAAACGGCGGCCGUAACUAUAACGGUCCUAAGGUAGCGAAAUUCCUUGUCGGGUAAGUUCCGACCUGCACGAAUGGCGUAACGACUUCCCCGCUGUCUCCAACAUAGGCUCAGCGAAAUUGAACUCUGAGUUAAGAUGCUCAGUACCCGCGGUUAGACGGAAAGACCCCGUGAACCUUUACUAUAGCUUUGCAGUGGUAUUAGGUAACAAAUGUGUAGAAUAGGUGGGAUGCUAUGAAGCUACGACGCCAGUUGUAGUGGAGCAGACUUUGAAAUACCACCCUUUUGUUGUUUGAUAUCUAACCUGCUCCCGUUAUCCGGGAGAGGGACCCUGCAUGGUGGGUAGUUUGACUGGGGCGGUCGCCUCCCAAAGAGUAACGGAGGCGCGCAAAGGUUGGCUCAGAUUGGUCAGAAAUCAAUCGUCGAGUGCAAUGGCAUAAGCCAGCCUGACUGCGAGAGAGACAUUUCGAGCAGAUACGAAAGUAGGUCAUAGUGAUCCGGUGGUCCCGAGUGGAAGGGCCAUCGCUCAACGGAUAAAAGGUACUCCGGGGA